rnacentral:rRNA from 1 species
GAUCCUGGCUCAGAUUGAACGCUGGCGGCAGGCCUAACACAUGCAAGUCGAACGGUAACAGAAAGCAGCUUGCUGCUUUGCUGACGAGUGGCGGACGGGUGAGUAAUGUCUGGGAAACUGCCCGAUGGAGGGGGAUAACUACUGGAAACGGUAGCUAAUACCGCAUAACGUCGCAAGACCAAAGAGGGGGACCUUGGGCCUCUUGCCAUCGGAUGUGCCCAGAUGGGAUUAGCUAGUAGUGGGG